UAUUUAUAACAUUAUGACCUUUAUUCUUUAAGCAUGAAAAUAUUUUAAAUACAAGCAUAUAAAUAUUACAUAUAAAUAUUUCUAUUUACAUAUACAUCAAGUAAAUUUACAUAUACAUUUUCAUCUUGGUAAAAAGAACAUGUAUUUGGUAGCGCAAUUGAGAAGAUGUUAACGGCGCAGAAGGGAAACGAUACGGAGAUACCGAGGGCUUCCGGGUCGAGCGGAAAGCCCUCGGUAUCUCCGAACAAACCAAUGUCAGGUGAAGUGACAAAUUUGUUUUGGAAUAGCAAGAACCAAAAGCAGACGGAAUUCAGCGAACCGUCUCUCUGUUCUUCCCUAAAGGACCUAUUCAAGAAGUAAUGGGGAAGAACAAAUACUAAUAAAUGUUAAGUGUCUCUAGUUUAAUUAACACUUCUUUAUCUAAGAAUUUCUUCCCUAAAAGACCUAUUCAUUAUGUAAUGUAGAAGCACAAAUACUAAUAAAUGCUAAGUUUCUCUCGUUUAA